AAGUCGUAACAAGGUUUCCGUAGGUGAACCUGCGGAAGGAUCAUUAAAAUAAUACUUACACUUUGCAUUUGCGAACAAAAAAAAGAACAUUACACUUCUAAUAUAUUUUUAUCAAAACUUUCAACAACGGAUCUCUUGGUUCUC
rnacentral:misc_RNA from 2 species